CCUAUAAAUACGAACUUAACACUGGCUGUCUCUCCUUUACCUCGAAAGCAUUCUCUCUCAAUCAAAGGAUCAUCUUCAUCGUCUUAGGUAAGUCGACCGAGAAAGAGAGACCGUAAUCCAAGAUGAGAGCCAAGUGGAAGAAGAAGCGUAUGAGGAGGUUGAAGAGGAAGCGCCGAAAGAUGAGGCAGAGAUCUAAGUAGGUGCUAGAUCAUGGAUGAGCCUUCUCCUGAAGUGUCUUCUUCUUUGGACUUUUCAGCAUGGACUAUAUGGAUGAAGCUGUCAAGAAUGGAGGGGAUUCUCUUUCGGGGAAGCUUUUUCUGUUUCAUCUUCUAGUUCUAGGUUUAGCAGCCAUGAGUAUUAAGAAUUUUAGAAUGUUGUUUGAGUGUAUUGAAUAGUACUAUCUGAGUAUUUUGUCGAUUAUAUGUUUUAAGUGUUUGCCUACAGUUGUUUUACUUAAUAUGCAGUGGUUAAAUAUAUUGAAAAUCUAAUGGUUGCCUUUCUAAA